CCUACGGGAGGCAGCAGUGGGGAAUUUUGGACAAUGGGCGCAAGCCUGAUCCAGCAAUGCCGCGUGAGUGAAGAAGGCCUUCGGGUUGUAAAGCUCUUUUGUCAGGGAAGAAACGGUGGGGAAUAAUACUUCCUGCUAAUGACGGUACCUGAAGAAUAAGCACCGGCUAACUACGUGCCAGCAGCCGCGGUAAUACGUAGGGUGCAAGCGUUAAUCGGAAUUACUGGGCGUAAAGCGUGCGCAGGCGGUUGUGCAAGACAGAUGUGAAAUCCCCGGGCUCAACCUGGGAAUUGCAUUUGUGACUGCACGGCUAGAGUGUGUCAGAGGGGGGUAGAAUUCCACGUGUAGCAGUGAAAUGCGUAGAGAUGUGGAGGAAUACCGAUGGCGAAGGCAGCCCCCUGGGAUAACACUGACGCUCAUGCACGAAAGCGUGGGGAGCAAACAGGAUUAGAUACCCUGGUAGUCCACGCCCUAAACGAUGUCUACUAGUUGUCGGGUCUUAAUUGACUUGGUAACGCAGCUAACGCGUGAAGUAGACCGCCUGGGGAGUACGGUCGCAAGAUUAAACUCAAAGGAAUUGACGG
rnacentral:rRNA from 1 species